UUCACUUUAUUAAACUGUCCUUAUCUUGACCCACGAGCCUUUUGUUAUAUUUUCUCCCCCAUGUCCAGCUGAGGAGGGGGAGUGAUAGAGCGGCUUUGGUGAGCACCUGGUGCCCAGCCAAGGCCAACCCACCACACCCCCACUCCAGGCAAGGCGUCUGGGUGCCAGGACUCUGCAAAGGGAGGACAGACUCUGGAAAGGGGAGAGCCAGCCAUUGGAGGGAUCCAUCUCUCUUCAGCCAGGUCCCACAAGAAAAGCCAAUUCGGGGUGCCCAGCAAGGCCCCUCAGCCGUCAGGGAGCUCCAGGCCAAUGCCAGUCUCCAAAACUGGUUUCUGUCUCAGGAAGGGUGUCAGAGAAAUCCCCUUUCCCCCAGGGCUGCCGUCAGUGAAGGAAUGAACCCUGCAGGUGGGGGAAGCACCCUCCUUUUUUGGAGAUGGUUACCAGGGGAGCUGCCUCUGCUGCUCUUUCUUGCUGCCAGCCCUUGGUCUCAGUGAUGAGCUUGAAUAUGUCCUGCCAUGUUGGAUGCAGCUCCAGCCCUUCUAGGACCCGGACUGCUUAUGGAGAAAGGUGGCUGCAACAGCAGGGAAAAGUCAUCCCUCAGCCUCUGCCGGAGACCGCUUCUGCCUUUGCUCCUUGUUUAGCCUCUGCACCUGCCCCAUCACCUGUCCACCCACACUUUCACCCUGUGGUACGCAAUGCAGACAAGACACCAUCUGAUGCCUGAAAGCUUUUAUACACAACCAGGUAAAAGCCUUGUCCAGUGUCCAGAGAUGACCUCACACAGCCACAGCUCCGGCCAUGUGGUGUCUGCCAGGAUAUCUCAGGACAGGUGCUGGAAUGGGGAGGGAAAAUGCUGGUGGAAGAUUCCUGCUUUUUAGUAAAUCUUUGUUAUCAUCA